rnacentral:rRNA from 1 species
UGGGGAAUAUUGCACAAUGGGCGCAAGCCUGAUGCAGCCAUGCCGCGUGUGUGAAGAAGGCCUUCGGGUUGUAAAGCACUUUCAGCGAGGAGGAAGGUGGUGGACUUAAUACGUUCAUCAAUUGACGUUACUCGCAGAAGAAGCACCGGCUAACUCCGUGCCAGCAGCCGCGGUAAUACGGAGGGUGCAAGCGUUAAUCGGAAUUACUGGGCGUAAAGCGCACGCAGGCGGUUUGUUAAGUCAGAUGUGAAAUCCCCGGGCUCAACCUGGGAACUGCAUUUGAAACUGGCAAGCUAGAGUCUCGUAGAGGGGGGUAGAAUUCCAGGUGUAGCGGUGAAAUGCGUAGAGAUCUGGAGGAAUACCUGUGGCGAAGGCGGCCCCCUGGACGAAGACUGACGCUCAGGUGCGAAAGCGUGGGGAGCAAAACAGGAUUAGAUACCCUGGUAGUCCACGCUGUAAACGAUGUCGAUUUGGAGGUUGUGCCCUUGAGGCGUGGCUUCCGGAGCUAACGCGUUAAAUCGACCGCCUGGGGAGUACGGCCGCAAGGUUAAAACUCAAAUGAAUUGACGGGGUCAUAGCUGUUUCCUG